rnacentral:siRNA from 1 species
UAGAACACUUGUUUCAGCUGC